AUUUCAGAAGCAAGAUUAAUAGAUUUUUGACUGAUAGACUGACAGGUGACUCUAAUUUUGGCACAACUCAUCUUUUGAGUUGAUUGUGGUGUUUGUUUUGUUUUUGCGUGUGUGUUUUUCUUUUUUCUUUUUUUUUUUAAAUUUUUUUUCCUUUUUCAUCGCUGCAGAAAGCUCCUAAAUAAGGUAAAGAAGUUUCCAGGGAAGAAUGCUUCUUCCAAGGGGUCAGGGUUUUCCUGGGAAAGGAAGUGGCCCACAGUACUGACCAGAGAGUGGAAGCCACUCUGACAGUCUGUGCUCUCACUCCAGGGAUGUGAUUGCAUGAAAUGUCUCACAUGGAGGACCCAUUGAGUUAAAUGAUACACUCAUAAAAAUCUUAUAUGUAGACAUCCUCUGGCUGGUAGUUGUUUAAGCACCACCAGAAGAUUAGGGCAUUGGUUUGUAGGUUUGACAGUUUCUUUGGUGUAAAUGCUUUCCCAGUGGUCCAUCUCAACUAACAAUGGUUUGACAUCCAGUUUGCAACACUUCUGAAAAUUUAGCAGUUGGCUUCUUAUGAGCCAGGGCAAGCUAGCUCUAACACUCCACUGAAAUUCUUCCCCGUGUUAAGUGUAAUAUAACAAGAAAAAAUAAAGCAAUUUGAUGUGCUGUGAUCCCUUCAAUUAACUGGGACCCACUUGAAAACAAGGACUAAGUUUUGUACCCGGAAGACUAUAUCCCCACAAAGGGACAAAGAUGAAAACAACAACAACAAAACAACCAACCAUGAGAUGAAUCUUCUUUGAAAGUGGCUUAUGUGCUCGGUUUUAUUGAUUUUACUGGGAUUUAUAGAAAGAGCAUAAGUGUUUGUUGUGUAUUAAAGUCUUUUUUUAAUAUCUAAAGAAAAAUUCCACUUGCUUCAAAAUCAACAGAAAUCAAGAGGAUAAAUGUCAUUGCUUUCUACCUCCUUAACUUUAAUCGCUUCUAGACAAAAAGAUGUUUCUGCUAAUAAUGGGUCCAAAAUAUGAACAUAUUAAACAAACAAGAUUAUAUGACAUUAUUUGAAUUACAGCAAUUACACCCAUUUUCUUUUAUUCAGAGGAUACAGAAAACCCACUACCUAAACUGUUUAAUUUCCUCCAGGUGUAGGAUAAUAAUAAUGGAAUGCAGAAUAAAUGUAUUCUGUAUUGGAACAGAAUAGUUUCAAUAGUUCUGCCGUUUUUAUUUAACAAUAUUUUUAUUGGUAGGAAAAAUAUUUCAGUUUCAUUAAUUGAAAUGUCACUCAUAACUUCAUAAUUACAAUAACGUAUCUCCUGUCUAAGUGCAUGUUUUUAUAUUGCUGUACAUGUCAUUAACAUUAAAUCAUUAAAUUUUUUUCAUAUUGUUAAUCUUUGUAAUAUUAUCAAUAAUUCAUAGUUUUAUAGUAUCUGAAGUUGAUAUACAUCAUAAUUUGAUUACUGAUGAUGGAUUGUUUUAAUAUUAUAGAUGCACUAUAAUGAGUAUUAUUCCAGAUGUUGUCGAUUUUUAACUCAUUUCUUUUAAUUUCCUAAAUAGAAUUAGCUAGAGUAUAGCUUAUCAUCAUAUGAUGAAGCUGUUCAGGGGCAUCUGUUUAUCAGUGGUUUGGUAACAAAACAGUUUUACCAAGUGUGAGGUGAGCUGUCAGAAUCCUAUUCGUCAGCACCUAAGAUAACUACAGAUUUUUUCAAGAAGCAUUAUCUUUGACAUGAGCUUCUUCCCCCAAAGCAUGACUCUUCACUUAUUCAUAAAAACUUAUAAUCUAACAUAGCUAAAAUAUUAAAAGAAAAACUUGAAUUAAAAUAUUAUCCAGAUAAAAUAUCUUAGAAAUGUGACUACUUAUUAGCACUUUGCCCUUUAUUCUCAUGCUAAUGCUAUGAGGCAAGUACUAAUAUUACCCCCAGUUUUCAGAGGAGAAGUCCAAGGCACAGAGCAGUUAAUUAACAUGCCCAGUGUUAUGGCUAGCAGCUGGCACUUUUUGUUGUGUUUUCACAAGACACAUCUGUGUUAGUCUCCCGAGGCAUCUUGAAAUAUAACAAAUGUAAAGUGAUUUUAGGUGGUUUAAUAAUAAUGAAGCAAUAUAAAAUGUCAUCAAAGUCAAUACAAGUGCAUAGAAAUCUGACAAGGGAAAAACUCCUUUCUGUAACUUUGGAAGGAGGAAAAAGAAGAAACCAAAUUUAAAAAUAUAUCAAACAUAUGCAUACAAGAUAAAGCUUAAGCAACCAGAUAGAUCAUCAAUGACAAUAAUUUUGAAAUCUCUUGUUCCCAAAUUACUUCAUUUUAUGUUUAAAAAAAUGUAUAUUAAAAUCUGGCUUCCUACCAUAUUAUUCUGCCGAGUCCCUUGGGAACCAGUGUUGGAAGAGUAGAGGGCAUUGGACUGUACCUGACGCCCCUGAUGCCUGUUAUUGUGUUUACAGCUGAGCUAUUUGUUAGGAUAUCUGAUCCCCCUUUUCCUCCUACUGUGUAGGCUCCUCCUAUAAGGAAAGAGAAUGGUUUAUUUAGCUUAACACCUAUUAAAAGUCUGGCUGACAUAGAGCAGUUACUCAGUAAAUACUUUGAUAAUGAACGUUCACAUCAAUAAACACUUCCUGAAGUUACAGUGUUAGAAAAAAUACAACAGGUUUAUGAAGACAUUUUCUAAAAUGCGAACAAGUUUUCCUGGAUCACAAUUUUGAUGCUAUACAAUUUCCCAAGAGACGGUUGCCAUUUAGACAUUCAUUCCUUUAGGAUCCUUUAGAGUUCCUUGAGAAUGUAGGCCUUUCUUGGAAAGAGGAAAACUCCGUCUUUGGAAAACUAUGCUAUUCACCCAGGUGUUAAAGUACUGUCAAUUUUCCAUUUCGUUGAGCUGCUAAUUUUAAUGUACAGAGUUCUGUAAUACCUUUCUGUGUUAUUAAUGUUCAGGUCAGUGAGAGUGUUACUCUACAUGUGCGUGCAUGGUGGCUAUUGUAAGUAAAUUUGGGGGGAUUUUUAAUAAAUUGGUAUCUGUGAUAAAACACAUGGAAAAAUUUUUAUUAGAAUUCAUUUUUGCCCUCAGUUUAAUGGUAAUAAAUAUAAUCAUAUUAUUUUAAAGGCUAGAAUUCCAAGGUUCUUCUCUAUUCGGGGAAAAUUAGUGUCAAAAAGCACCAGAAUUUUCAAAAUAGGUAUUGGUCUGUGGCAAAGUCAGCCAGUGGUGUCAGUUUCUUUUCUUUUUUCCUUUUUGUGUGCGUAUAUGGCAGAGCGGUUUCCAUUAUGUGGAGAGAAGUGGAUAGGGUAGCAAGCUUACUUCCUAUGUCCAAACAAGACCAUGCAAGCUUUGGAACAGGGAAAACUUUAUGUAGGAUGGCAUGUUCAGUUGCCAGAGUCAUUUUCUGUAUAAUCUCUGAUGGGAAUUGUGUUACCUCUAUGGGCUUAAUUACUGGAUUUUUCUUUGCGUGAUAUGGGAAUAAAGAUGAAUAGUUUAAACAGGAAAAGCUGCCACCUAUGUUAUUCUUUCAAGUUCAAGAUUUCAAAAAUCCUUGAGCGAAGUAAAACUUCCCAACUUGGUUCUAGCUGAGAAACUUUUUUUCUCAUUCAAGCCUGCUAUUGUACAUUACCUCUCAUUCUUUAUUUCUUUACCAGUCUAGUACAAAGCCAUUUCUCUUAAAUGAAAUACUGUGAUUUUCAAUGAAAGAAAUAGUUUUAACUUGCUUUUUCUUGUGCUCCCAAAUGGAAAUUGAACCCACCAUCAGAGUUAAUCUCUUUCACCCAUUAAUAAUCUAUGUGUCUUUUUUCUUCCUUCCACAGAAUCAACUGUCUGCUUCGUUGAGCUUAAAGGGAGAAUUUCAAAUAGCCAGUUUCAAAAAAAAUAGUGUAUUUUGUACCAAAUAAGUCCAAUUGGGGCAAGAUGUUCAGUUUCAAUGCAGUUCAAUGUCUCCUGUCAAAAAGUUACAUUUUAUCAUAGCAACCCCAAGUAGUGGCAACACUCAUUUAUUAUUUGUCUUUAGUUCAGAGUGAUUUCCUUUAAAACAAAAGCUCUACUUUUUCUUACACAAUGCUAGAGACCUGUUUGCUAUACCUAAGGCAAGGUAUAUGGUUAGUUUUUAUUAUGAAUCAUUUUAUCAAGAACUAUGCCUUAAUUUCCUCACCUGUGAAAGAAGUGGUUCGCUUGCAUUGAAUGAUCUUUAAGUUUUCUUACAGAGAUAAUCUAAAAUUAUUCUAUUCUACUUACUGUGUGGGUGGUUAAAAACCACUAUUGGGAUAAUACAAGAUUUUUCUUAGGAAAUUAAAAAUACAAGACUUAGGACAUUAAAAAUCUAAGUGCUUAGAAAUAAAAUCUUUGGAAAAACGUUGAGAAAAUAAAGUAUGUAUGUGGGAGGGAAGGAAGACAAAGGAGAGAAGCUGGAUUGCUUUCAUUGAUGGCAUCUCUCCUCCCUCCUACCCCGCUUGAGUGCUACCCAUUGCUAAGUCCCUGCUAUGCUAGCAAAAACACAGCCGUCUUCAGGGGUGUUAAGCUGUGAAUUGUUGAAAUGUUGAUGACCUUCCAUAUCAGACGACAGUCGGCUUCUCUUGUUCGGCUUUGUCAUCCACAACUUUGUACACUCAGUGCUCUGGCAGGAUGUGGCAACACCCUGCUCUAAUUAUAUACCCCACACAUCUCAGCUUAUCUCAUGCCGUUCCCUUUGUCUGAAAUUUGCACUCGCCCUGGCCCAGCCUUUCAGAUGUCUAGCAUUCGCUCAGGGCCUGGCUUUCAUGAAGCCCAGCUUGAUAUGAUUUCUCUCUCAAGACCAUUUCACACAGCUUUAUUUCAUACUUAUUUGUGCCCUGCUUUUAUUCCCCAUUUUACAAUGCAAGUUUUUAUUUCACCAGGACUAUAAUAGUGAAUCUUACUCAUUUUUGUUUUCUCUCUCCUUUCUUGUCCUGGCUCCUGGUACAAAGCACAUAACAAACAGGUAGAUUUAAGAUUUGUGCAGAGAAAUGAGUGUCCCUCCAAUUAAUUUCCUCUUUAAUGAGUUUUGUCUGCGUUCUAUAGGUAUGAGAGAAAGCACAGCAGGGCAGAUAGCAUCCACUAGGCAGUGAUGGAGUGAAUAGCUUAUAUUUUAACAUUUUCUGUAACUAUCCUUGUUUUCUCUAAGUAGAACAUACAUUUUGAGUAACAUUAUAUUUUCCAGAUCUUUUCAUAUAGACAAUGAGUUUUACUUCUUUCUCAGGUUUAUAGUAUGGCUCACAACAUAUUAUUUAAAGAUUCUAUUUAUAGAUAUGGCUUUGGAAAUUCUUGGUUUUACACACCUUGUAAAGUGAAUGGUCUUACAAGAUUUUCAAAAGUGGAUGUAGUGAAUAAAAAGUAAUACAUGUUUUUAUUGACAUAUUUUGUCAAAUUGUCCAUCUAGAACUCUUAAAAAUUGGAGGUGAAAAUUUCCACACUGUUACCAACACCAGUUGUAAUCAGCCUUUACACUUUUUUCCUCAAAUUAUUUAAUUUUUUUUAACAAAUUUAUUUAAAUUCACAUUAGUUAACAUACCGUGUAGUAUUGGUUUCAGGAGUAGAACCCAGUAAUUCAUCACUUACAUUUACCUGAUGGACAAGAUGUAGUAUCUCGUGGCCUCAAUCUGCAUUCGUCUGAUUACUCAUGAUGAUGUUUCCUUUUGUUUUUCUGACUUGUUCCUGUUAUGAAUCUUCUGUUGCAAGGUUUAUCUUUUUUCUCGUUGGUUUUGAAGAUGAUUCUUCUAUGAGUAUCAGCCUUUGUUGUGCAUGUUUCUCUGCAUUUUUCUCUUCUCACUUUGUAUUGUCUUUUGCACCAUGGCAGCUUCAUAUUAUUAUGUCUUCAGAUUUGUCAAUCUUCUGCUUACGGCUUUUGCCAUUAAUCUUUUGUAAGUCAGACACGGGUUAUGAUACAUUUGAAGAGUUAGCAAUGCUACUUCAACUUCACGCUAAUUGAGACGAUCUCCCUGUUGUCCUAAUCGAGUUGCUCAUAGUAACCAACCAUCUGGUGGUUUUCCAAUGUCUUAGGGGUUGUUUUCCUUCGGAUUAUUUACCCAGGUAUGAAGACUCCUACCAUUGCAUGAUGGUGAUCCUGGUUGAUUUCUGCUUCAUUUUUAUUUUCCUUCUGCUUUCACCUCCCGUUCUUUAUUAGAACCUCAAGUAGAAAAUACCAAGUGGACAGCUUCCCACUAAAGAGGAAGAUUCCUAAUUUGUGUUGAAUAUCUAAGAUACAGAACCAAAAGUAUUAACUUGCGUGGUAACUUUAAAUGUAUCUUUCAUAUCCUUUUACUGUGAAUAAAGAAAACAAUUUUAAUUCCUCGGAAGUUUAAAAUAUACUUAACACAGAAUACAAAAAGGCACAUGUUUAUCUCCUCAUACAUACAAAAGUUACACAAUUACACUUCUCCAUGGGCUAAAAGUUUCACCUUCAUCAUUUUCAAAGCUGUCCAUUAAUCCUCUUUUUUGACUUUCGACUGUGGAUUUUGGAAAAGGAUAAAAAAAAAACAUGCGCUUUUGGAAUUUGCACAAAAAUAAGAUAAGGAAUAGUGUUAUUACUAAAUACCAAUGCUUAAUAGAAAGAUUUAAUAUUGAUUUAAGUGAAAAACUGAGAUAUAAGCAACAAUUGAAAACCUGCGACUACAAAAACAGACUAUAUAUCAGAAACGAGGAAAGGAUCUGUAAGUAUUUUAGGGUGGUACUUGAAAAGCACCAAACGUUUUGAGAAUACUUUGAGCACACACAAUGAAAUUAAUGUAGCGCUUUGCUCUAUAUACCACUUAAAAUGAGAUUAUCAGGUUUUUAGAGGUAGAUGUACAUUCUCUUUGUCUUUCUAAAAUACUUUUUCAUGGUUAUGGAAAGAACAUUUUACAUGACCAAUGUUACUUACUGACGUAUUCCUUAAAGUACUCAAAUCCAGUUUACCUAUGUAAAACCAUAAAACAUAGUUCCACAAAGAAACAUACAGAUCAGCUAAUAAAAUUCCCUAAUAUUUCAGAGAAAUUUGAAUCAAUAUCAAAAGCCACAUAGCUAGAGAAUUGCAGAACCGGCAGCCUAAGAGAUUUGAAGACUUUAUAUUAGUAUUUUGUUUAAUGUUUUACAUUAAAGCAUCAUAUUCCAACAUACCACAGAAUCAGUAAAACAUUAAGUAACUUUGGGCACAUUCCUGCCAAAAAUUUCUUAAUCUUACCAUUAACUAUUUUUAUUUGUAGACAAGUUUUUAUCCUUUUUUCUUGCUGGACUCUAUUCACUAAUUGCCUUCUAUGAUUGUACAUCAGGUAUAACCUUAAUUGUGUGCUUCCUUUUCUCAAAUAUAUUACAUUUAUCCAAUCUUCACCCAAGUCCUUGUCUUGGGCUCUGCUUUUAGUGGGAUCCAAGCUAAGAGAUAGGAACAUUAAAAAAGAGAUAUAGAUUUAUUCAAACUUCAAAUAUGUAUUUUUCUGUAUGAAUACGAAUGUUUUUAUAAAAUGCAUUCAUGUACAAAACAUAGAUGCUUUGUGAGACUAUCUGUACAUAAGAAGAUGUUUUAAAAGGUAUUCUGGCUGUGACACUUCUCACUUCUCCAUUGAUCUUUAGGGCUGGUCAGGUGUAGCUGUCAGGUUUUUCCUGGAUGCCUGUGAUUAUCCUAAAGUUGCCCAGUCCGUAAACAUAGUUCCCUUUUCUUCCUGUCUUUACUAAUUACACUCAUUUAUUUAUAGUUUCACCAUGUGAAUGUGUAUUCAUAUUUUAACACCACACAUAUAAUCCAAUCUGAUGCCAACUUCUUACUAGGAAUCAGGAAAUUCUUUUGUCAAAUAUGAAAGGAACAUUCUGUAAUUCUUAUUUUAUGCUUCCAAUUCUUUCUAACAUUAAAAUAAAAUCUUACAUACAUGUAUGAGGAACUUUUCACAUAAGUUACAAGGCAUCCUUACACUUUUGGGAAGAAAACAUUUUUAAGUACGAACAGAUGUGCUUUUCUUUCCAGCCCUCCUGAAAUUUCUCCCUGUGUCUUCGUGGGUGGAAUUCUUCAGCUGUAAGUCAUUCCCUGCAAAGUCAGAAAAACAAUGACUACAAACUGAAUUACCACGUCGGCAGGUUGCAGAUCUCAGGGCAUUUGUGGAGCCGAGCCCAUGCAGGCAGCCUCCCAGCCCCAAGUUCAGGACAUGUACAAGCCUCCAGGACAGAGGAUGGCACUCUGGACAAUUUGAAGCACGUGGGGGACCUGGAGAGAUAGCUCUGCCCUGACAGAGGUGACAUAAGACCACCUGCCCAGAGACCAGACGCAGCCAGUGGAAGAGCUGCCUUCAGUGAGCUGGCAUCUGGGUGCUUCCCUUGACAAGGUGCAACAUUUGAUCAUCCCCUUUGGCAGUUGCUUGGCUACGCAUCCUGCAGUAAGCGGUCCCCAGCCGAGACGGACGGCGAGGGAGUGCUGCAAAUCUCGAACUGGUGUGAGAGGCGGGAGGCCUCAAGGGUCUUAUUUGAAUUGUGCCCCUGGUACUGAAGAAACACCGGAAUUAUGAAGUUGUUACGUAUUUCUUCCAUACGUUUAUAUUUUCUACAGCUGCACGAGUGCCCUUGUAACUCAGACAUUCCCAUGACUGUGUUUGCACAUGUAUAAAAUGAUAGGAAACGCAAAAAUUGAAAACACCAGUGGGGUCACGAUCAUUUAAGAGUUAUAUGGAACUUGAAUUUUUUGGUGACAUUUUCUAUAAGGUGAAGAGCUCUUGAGGUGCAUGAGGCGUUUUGAGAAAUUUCUUUGCAUAAAUUUGCCAGCAUGUGGUUAAUUUAGUAGUCAAAUCCUAUAUUUUCUCAUGAAAAUUUAUGUUUCAUAAAGUCAUAUAAUUUGUUGAAAAAAUUUUGACUUAUGACUUCGCUCCAGACCAGAGCAAUUAGGUCAAAAUAUCUGCAGGUGUGGGUCAGGCAGUGGCUUGUUUAAAGUCCCUGUUUUUCUUUUCUUUUUCUUUUUCUUUUUUUGCAUGUAGGCUUCACACCUAGUGUGGAGCCCAACAUGGAGCAUGAACAACUCACGACCCUGAGAUCAAGACCUGGGCUGAAAUCAAGAGUCUGAUGCUUAAUAGACUGAGCCACCCACCCCACCCCCUCCCUCUGGCCCCUGUUUUCUAACGUAACCUGUGUUAACCGCCAACUAUACAAAAGGUGUAGUGUAUUCAUUUAAGCCUUUUUUAAUAACAGAGAAAUUAGUAAUAGCUUAAAUGUCUAAUGAAAUAGAUGUUGGUUAAAUAGGGUAAAAACGUAUGAAGAACUCCUAUACAGGUACUCAUAUUCCUGAGGCAUGCUUAAGGCAAUACGCUGUUCCUGUAGCAGUUCCUUGCAGGUCCUGUAACAAAUUACCAAAACCUUGGUGGCUUAAAACAACAGAAACGUGUUUUCUCACAGUUGUGGAGGACUGAAGUCUGAAAUCUAGGUGUUGGGCAGUGGCCUUUCCUUCUGGAAGCUCCAGAGGAGACUCCAGGGAAAAUCUGUCCUUUGCCUCUGUCAGCUUCUGGUAGCCAUUGGUGUUCCUUUGCUUAUGGCCCCAUCUCUCCAACCUCUGUCUCUGUCUUCAUUUUGCCUGCCCCUCUAGUCCCUCUGUCUUGCUCUUAUAAGGACAUAUGUGAAAGUAUUUGGGACCAAUCCGUCUAAUCCGGGAAAAGCUCCUCAAGAUGCUUAACUAACCAUAUAAGCAAAAUCUUUACCCUCUAUUUUGACAUUGCUGAGGUUCCAGGGAUUAGGACUUGAUGCCUUUCAAGGGCACCAUUCAGCCCACUACACCCCUGUGCACUUUUUAACAGGUGCCGGCAUGAUCUGUAAAUUUGCUAAAGCGUAUGUAAUUGGAAGGGCAUAUAUAAAAUUGUCAAAGGGAUUUUCCAGAACGUCAGAUUGUGUGAGAGUUUUAAAAUGUCACUGUCUACAUUCUAUCUCUUAAAAAUGUCUAUAAUUACAUUACAUACAUAGGCAACAUAUACAUGGGUAUGUAUCAGUUGCCUCUGCGGGUAACAAAACCCCGCACUUCUUACGGCAUGGCUUAUUUAGUGCCCACUGAAUGCAUGUAUUUAUUCGUAUAUUUACGUGGUGCUUUGGAGGGAUACCACGUUAAGAAAGUACUUGCUUUCUGGGUGCUAGCAGUAAAUAGCAAGAUAGAGAACAAAUACAUAAGAUAGUGUAAGGUAAAGCAAACAGAAACUAUAACCCAACCAAGCAGAUAAUUGUGUAGGUGAUUUCUACUAAAAUCACAAAGAAGAGAUAUGCUGUUUCUAUGUUCUUUAAAUUUUUCUAGAGACCAGAAUUUGGAUAAUAUCUUUCUUUCUAGUAGACUAGAUUAUCAAUACUGGAUAUACUUGACACAAAUAUCCCGAUCACUCACCAAAACAAAACAAAAUAGCACAUAUCAAUCAAUUUAAUAUACUAAAGUAGCUGUAAAAUAUUAGUAAAUUAAACUCAGUUGUUUUAAUAGUAUAAUAUGGAUAUGGGCUAUGGCUAUUAGUCCACUAAUUUUGGAAUGCUUUACUUUAGGCAAUAUUAUUUUUAAAAUGAUUUGCAGCAUUUAGAGUUUAGUAAGUAUAUACUUUGAUAGAUUCCUAAUUAUCAUUUGAUAAAAUUCAAUGUCCCCUUCAGGUUUGAAAAAAAUAAUAAUAAUAGAAAAUUUAAAUGGUGAAGCAGAAAAAUCCCUAUUGAAGUUAGAAACAUGAUAAGGAUGCCCACCAAACUAAGUUAUUCAAAACUGUCUUGCGGUCCCAGCCAAUGCAGUAAAUCCAGCACAACAAGGUAAGGAUUUGAGGGAGAAAAUCGUGAUCUAGAAUGAUACAGGAUAAGAGUAUGGUGAAUAAAAUUCCCAGAAUGACAGUACUGAAGCAAGUCCAGAAAACAAACAGCCCCCCCACCCCAAUGCAAAAACCCCACCCUCCUGUAAAGCUUUCUUUGGAAUACCUAAAAGAAUUCCUUAUUCCUUCCUCCAUGAUCCAAUAGCACUUGGCAUACACCUCGACGGUAGAUUUGUUCCCAAUAGAGUGCGUGUAACAUUGUUAUCAGAGCAUAUAUUUUUUUUUUAUUUUUUUUAACGUUUAUUUAUUUUUGAGACUGAGAGAGACAGAGCAUGA